rnacentral:rRNA from 1 species
AGAGUUUGAUCAUGGCUCAGAAUCAACGCUGGCGGCGCGCUUAACACAUGCAAGUCGAACGAGAAAGUGGAGCAAUCCAUGAGUACAGUGGCGUACGGGUGAGUAACACGUGGAUCAUCUACCCUCUAGUGGGGAAUACCGUUGGGAGACCGACGACAAUACCGCAUAAGCUCGAGAGAGGAAACCAGCAAUGGGCUGGAGGAGGAGUCCGCGGUCGAUUAGUUAGUUGGCAGGGUAAAAGCCUACCAAGACUGUGAUCGAUAGCCGGCCUGAGAGGGCACACGGCCACACUGGCACUGAAACACGGGCCAGACUCCUACGGGAGGCAGCAGUGGGGAAUCUUGCACAAUGGGGGCAACCCUGAUGCAGCGACGCCGCGUGAGUGAUGAAGCCCUUCGGGGCGUAAAGCUCUUUCGGCAGGGACGAUUAUGACGGUACCUGCAGAAGCAGCUGCGGCUAACUACGUGCCAGCAGCCGCGGUAAUACGUAGGCAGCAAGCGUUGUUCGGAGUUACUGGGCGUAAAGGGUGCGUAGGCGGCUUUUUAAGUUUGGUGUGAAAUCUCCUGGCUUAACCGGGAGGGUGCGCCGAAUACUGAGAAGCUAGAGUAUGGGAGAGGAAAGUGGAAUUCCUGGUGUAGCGGUGAAAUGCGUAGAUAUCAGGAGGAACACCUGUGGUGUAGACGGCUUUCUGGACCAUAACUGACGCUGAGGCACGAAAGCGUGGGUAGCAAACAGGAUUAGAUACCCUAGUAGUCC